rnacentral:rRNA from 1 species
ACGAACGCUGGCGGCGUGCUUCACACAUGCAAGUCGAACGGAAAGGCCCUGCUUUUGUGGGGUGCUCGCGUGGCGAACGGGUGAGUAACACGUGAGUAACCUGCCCUUGACUUUGGGAUAACUUCAGGAAACUGGGGCUAAUACCGGAUAGGAGCUCCUGCUGCAUGGUGGGGGUUGGAAAGUUUCGGCGGUUGGGGAUGGACUCGCGGCUUAUCAGCUUGUUGGUGGGGUAGUGGCUUACCAAGGCUUUGACGGGUAGCCGGCCUGAGAGGGUGACCGGCCACAUUGGGACUGAGAUACGGCCCAGACUCCUACGGGAGGCAGCAGUGGGGAAUAUUGCACAAUGGGCGGAGGCCUGAUGCAGCAACGCCGCGUGCGGGAUGAAGGCCUUCGGGUUGUAAACCGCUUUCGCCUGUGACGAAGCGUGAGUGACGGUAAUGGGUAAAGAAGCACCGGCUAACUACGUG